rnacentral:rRNA from 1 species
GNGGGGGAGUAUGGUCGCAAGGCUGAAGCUUNAAGAAAUUGACGGAAGGGCNCCACCAGGGGUGGAGCCUGCGGCUUAAUUUGACUCAANACGGGGAAACUCACCAGGGUCCAGACACAAUGAGGAUUGACAGAUUGAGAGCUCUUUCUUGAUUUUGUGGGUGGUGGUGCAGGGCCGUUCUUAGUUGGUGGAGUGAUUUGUCUGCUUAAUUGCGAUAACGAGCGAGACCUUAACCUGCUAAAUAGCCCGUAUUGCUUUGGCAGUACGCUGGCUUCUUAGAGGGACUAUCGGCUCAAGCCGAUGGAAGUUUGAGGCAAUAACAGGUCUGUGAUGCCCUUAGAUGUUCUGGGCCGCACGCGCGCUACACUGACGGAGCCAGCGAGUACUUCCUUGUCCGAAAGGUCCGGGUAAUCUUGUUAAACUCCGUCGUGC